UUCUUGUUCUUGUGUCUUUAACUAGGACUUCUAUUUGGAACUGAGUCCGACAGCUCAGGACUGGCUGCUCAGACUCCACAAUUUAAUGAAAAAUCUGAGAUGAUGACUCAGAAAACCUCUAACGAUCUGAGGAAUAUAUUAAGGGAUUCCAAAGUCAAAGGCUGAUCAUGGAGGGCAUUGAUGAGGGGAGACUUCAGGUGGCCAGAGACUAGAAGAAAGGAACACCGGAAGAAUGAAAACGGUUGUGAUGCACUGCAGUGUGAAAAUAUGCCCUUGAGACUUAAAGAAAGGGGCUUAAGGCCGGGCGCGGUGGCUCACGCCUGUACUCCCAGCACACAGAUCACGAGGUCAAGAGAUUGAGACCAUCCUGGCCCACACGGUGAAACUCCGUCUCUACUAAAAAUACAAAAAAUUAUCUGGGAGUAGUGGCGCACGCCUGUAGUCCCAGCUACUCGGGAGGCUGAGGCAGGAGAAUCGCUUGAACCCAGGAGGCGGAGAUUGCAGUGAGCCGAGAUCGCGCCACUGUACUCCAGCCUGGCGACAGAGCAAGACUCCGUCUCAAAAAAAAAA
rnacentral:antisense_RNA from 1 species